rnacentral:rRNA from 1 species
AGCGAACGCUGGCGGCAGGCCUAACACAUGCAAGUCGAACGAAGUCUUCGGACUUAGUGGCGGACGGGUGAGUAACACGUGGGAACGUGCCUUUAGGUUCGGAAUAACUCAGGGAAACUUGUGCUAAUACCGAAUGCGCCCUUCGGGGGAAAGAUUUAUCGCCUUUAGAGCGGCCCGCGUCUGAUUAGCUAGUUGGUGAGGUAAGGGCUAACCAAGGCUACGAUCAGUAGCUGGUCUGAGAGGAUGACCAGCCACAUUGGGACUGAGACACGGCCCAAACUCCUACGGGAGGCAGCAGUGGGGAAUCUUGCGCAAUGGGCGAAAGCCUGACGCAGCCAUGCCGCGUGGAUGAUGAAGGUCUUAGGAUUGUAAAAUCCUUUCACCGGUGAAGAUAAUGACUGUAGCCGGAGAAGAAGCCCCGGCUAACUUCGUGCCAGCAGCCGCCGUAAGAC